rnacentral:rRNA from 1 species
AAAGUUCCCUUCGGGGAACAAGUAGAGUGGCGCACGGGUGAGUAACACGUAGGUAAUCUACCUUUGGAUUGGGAAUAACACCGAGAAAUCGGUGCUAAUACCGAAUAAUGCAGCGGCACCUAAUGGUGACAGUUGUUAAAGCGGGGGAUCGCAAGACCUCGCGUCUAAAGAGGAGCCUGCGGCGGAUUAGCUAGUUGGUAAGGUAACGGCUUACCAAGGCGAUGAUCCGUAGCCGGCCUGAGAGGGCGGUCGGCCACACUGACACUGACAUACGGGUCAGACUCCUACGGGAGGCAGCAGUCGGGAAUUUUGGGCAAUGGGCGAAAGCCUGACCCAGCAACGCCGCGUGAAGGAUGAAAUCCCUCGGGAUGUAAACUUCGCAAGAACGGGAAGAAUAAGUCGGUGCUAACACCAUCGGCGAUGACGGUACUGUUUGUAAGCUCCGGCUAACUCCGUGCCAGCAGCCGCGGUAAUACGGGGGGAGCAAGCGUUGUUCGGAUUUACUGGGCGUAAAGGGCGCGUAGGCGGCCACCGCAAGUCGACUGUGAAAUCUCCGGGCUUAACUCGGAAAGGUCAGCCGAUACUGCGGGGCUAGAGUGCAGAAGGGGCAACUGGAAUUCUCGGUGUAGCGGUGAAAUGCGUAGAUAUCGAGAGGAACACCUGCGGCGAAGGCGGGUUGCUGGGCUGACACUGACGCUGAUUGUGCGAAAGCUAGGGGAGCGAACGGGAUUAGAUACCCCGGUAGUCCUAGCCUUAAACGAUGAAUGCUUGGUGUCUGGGGUUUUAUAGUCCCCGGGUGCCGUCGCUAACGCUUUAAGCAUUCCGCCUGGGGAGUACGGUCGCAAGACUG